CCUGAUCCCGCUCGGCCACUUCCUUCUUCUCCGUCUGCGCGCGCAUCCACGCGUGCACCGGGUCACCAAGCUCCACAUCGCGCAGGGAAACGACGAAACAGCUGAUUGUACCUGCUGCGUGCUGAAGUCAAAGCCCAGGUCCACCCACCUGUCGAGCUGCGAGGUCGUGACACAAUGGAACAUGAACCUGUAGAAGCUACAAGUCCGAAUGAAAUCAACCUGGUUGAACCCGACAUCACAGACCUGCAAGUCGGAGGUUGACACUCGAACGCCUCCUUGAGUCGGAGGAACCACCAACCACGACUUGUGAGCUCUGAGCUCUGAGGUGUGCUGCGCUCCCGGACGCUCGCCGUCCUCCUCGUCGGUGUACGGAGGAUUCCACAGCUGGAUCUUCUCCUGCUUCAGCAGGUUCUUCAGCUUCGCCUCCGUGUUCUGCUCCGCCAUCGUAUCUGACAGCGGCGGGACACGAGGUGAGGACGAGGUGACGGUGGUUCGAUUCCCCCGAGAGACAAACUGCAGAAGAAAAACAUCUCAUUUAAAACACUUCCUCACUCCUCACAGAGGAUUGUGGGUAAUUUCACCUUUUCAGGACCCUGGAAGUCAACCUGCUGACGAAGCCACGCCCCUUUUAAAAACAGACACGGUCGGAAGCUGAAACCAUGAAAAUGAUUUCACCCAUUAAUUAAUAAUCAAUAAUGAUCAGUUCAUUGUCCCAGCUUCACUUAUAACCUCUAACAACAACAUCCAGCUCAUAAAUAUGUAUAUUAAUAUUAAUAGACAUGUAAAUGUGCCGAAGGAGAGUUUGAAGAGUAAAAUUAGAAUUUGUUCA